UAAGUAUAGGUUUCACUCACACGCACCCACCUAUCUUCCGAAAACCUCCCGAACCCCUCUCACAACUUCGAUCAUCUCUCGCCUUCUCCAUCACUGCCGGCGUCCCUCAUUCUCUUCCUCUACCCGAUUGGGAGAGGACAGGCUCCCUCUUCCGCCUCCAUCUCAUCUACAGCCGACGCUAACGCACACAAUAGGAGCUUCAUCCCAGAAUCCGCAGGCCAUCUCAUCUCCUCUACCAUCUUCCUCGCCGUUAACGGCAAGGUCUUCUCACAGAGCUUCCAGAUCUGAAAGCCAUCUCACGGUGCCUUCAUCUUUAGCCCACAGCUUCUUCCAAUUGGGAGAGGCGCCACCACCGAACUCUACAUCACCCUCUCCUGAUUAGUAGAGGUUUCUUCGCCACCACUAGUUUCCUUCCACCUCUCCAUUUCGGAUUUGAAGAGUAAAGCUUCAUCACUAGCCAGCAACCCCUCUCCUCUUCGGAUUUGAAGAGGAGAGUUCAUCCAUCCUUCAACAACCCCUUUAUCUUCAGAUUCGAAGAGAAGAUUUCAUUCUCCAUCGACGAGCAGCCAUCCACUUCGUCCACAGCCUUCGCUGGUAGAUUGGCCGUCAGAGAAGCUCCAUCCAGCAGCCCCCUCUCCACUUCGAAUUCGAAGAGGAGAGUUCUAUUCCGAUCCAUGCCUAUGACAUUGGGUUAUUUCUAUAUAUGUUGAAUUGUGUUAUUCUUGUUGAUUGUUGAAUUGUAACGUAGCUAUUCUCCCAUGUUUAGAAUUGCAUGUAAUUUUGCUUAAUUGAAUUCUCGCUCGUUAUGUGUUUGAUGAAAUGCCUCUUUCAUUAGUUAGUUUAUAAACUUGCAUCUUCUUUGGUUUGAAUUCUUGUGAUGAUUAGUUAGUUGAAUGUUUUAGGUUAGAUUAGAUUAGGUUAGUUGAAUUUUGACAAAUUUAUUCAUGUGGAAGUUUAUUUCUAAUAUUUCCUAAAUUUUUGAAUACUCAAAAAUAGAUUGAAGAGGAAUGAAAAUGCUCAAAAAUAGAUGUGGGGAAUGUUCUCGACGAGGUCACAUUUUGACACUCAAGUCAAAAAAAUGAACAUUAGGGACUUAGUGCAUACCUAAACUUCAUUGGCCGUGGUGCCUUUCAUUGGCUAGAUUGUCCAAUUUUCAACUGCUGAAAGUGUUGGACUUCAUCGGACAGUCUUAACAAGUAUCUGUUUCAUGUUGGUUGGAGCACAACUAAAAAUGAUGGUUCUGCUGUGCCAUCUAGGUUAUCAAUGGUUUGUUUUUUUCAUUGCUUAUGUGUGAUUUUGGUCAAGAGUUCUGAUAUUUGUGUUCGAGAGAGGAUUUUGAACAUUAUUUCUGACCAAAAUACUCUAGUCAUCAAGCUGUACACAGUGAGUUCUUCUUAUAUCCACAUAGAUUUACAUGGUCCAAAUAUACCUAUUGACGUGCAAACAUAGUCUAUUUCUUGAAGCUUGAUCUCUUCAUAUAUAUAUGCCUCUUGCAUGGAAUAAUGUUUUUAGAUAUUCAUAUGUAAAUUUUCUUGUCAUUACAUAUCAUAGCAACCAAUGCUGAUGCACAAGAAGUCAAAAACAAUUUCAUUUUAUCAAAUUGGACUUAUAAAAGAAAUAGGGAUCUAUGGCUGCAUCAAUUUUCGACCUUUUAGUUAGCUUGCUAGAUUUGAAGUCCUCAAUUGUUUUUUCCCAGAAUCUACCAAUAAUUUGAGGAGCAGAUCUAGUGGAACAAAUCAAACUGCACUCUUUGUUUAGCAAUUGUUUCCUCGAUCUUACUUAGCAGAUCUAGUGGAAUGAAUUAUGCUUCCCUCUUGGUUUAACAAUUGUUUCCUUGAUCUUACUAUUCUUGGAUCGGUUGGACCGACUAGAGGGGGUGAAUAGCCCUGUAAAGUAGUAUUAUGAAUCUUCUCUUGCUUGUCAUGAACCAGUUGACAAUUGCCACUCUUUUGAAUACUCAUUAUACUGAUCUCUCAUAUGUUAGGGAAACUAAGCAUUGGCCUCCGAGCUUAAUCGAUUCUUUGUAGCAUUUCAUCACACUUUCCUAACAAGCUCCAAUAUCUUGCUUGGUUGAUAAAUGGUGAUGCAUUAAGUCUUUUUCAAUGCAGAUGUUAAUGGGUCAGAAACAAAUUUUGUGUAUCACUUCUAAAGGACAUCAUAUCACAGCCUCUUCUCAAGUGCAACGAGAAAGCCACAUAUAAACAUAGCUAAGUGAUGCUCAAAAUUGCUUGCAUGAUGCUCUUUGAGGAGACAUUGAUAAGCGAAGAGGAGGAUUAAGAAGCACUACUUGAUCAGAAUAUGGAGGAUUAAGAUGCAGAAUAUAGAAAAAUAAAAGUCCAUGGCUGCAUAUAUCAAGAGAGAGGUUUGUUCUGCCUUGGUGCAACUUAUAGAAGUUCGACCAUCAUUCCUAGAGAUAUGUAAAAAAAAUUAUUUGGUUUUUAGAUGGAUUUGUUCAUAUUUCUAUUGAUUGCCCAUAUUGGUUGUGUGUUUUUGUCAUUCUAUCUUAGACGAACAUCACAAUGGGAAGAUGUUGUGGAAUUCUAAAAUAGUAGCAUCAACAUUUCUGCUAGCACAACCAUGACAUGGUAGCACAUAGUGAAAUGUGGAUGUUGAUUAUAUAAGAUAUUGUACAUUAAGCCAUGAAUUUGUUCUCCUUUUUUGGUUUAUUAGUUAUGUUGUGUUGUUUAUUGAUUUAAUGCUAAGUAAAUUGUUUUGAUUCCUACUUCAGAAUCUAAGAGUUUAUAGAAUCUACUAGAGAUAUUGUUGUUGUUCCAUUUUUGUGGGUCAUCAAGACUAACUUACACUUUGUCUUGAAUCUUUCAUGUGCAGUGCCUUUUCAGAUAUUUUAAAGGUGAAUGGAGGUAUUCAAAAACUCCAGCUAAAUAGCUUGGGUAUGGAUGAUUACUGGAGCAACAACUACAUACUAUGUGGCACUGCAUCCGAACCUCAGGGGUGUGACUGGGAAGUACUUCGACGAAGAACUAUCAAGAAGGCUUUGGGAUUUAAGUGAGGAUAUGGUUAAAGUCAAUGAGUAAAGAACAUUCAAGUCAAGAGGAUAAGUAGCAUCUAUAAAGAUCCUUUAAGUUCAUGCAAUAAGAUGUAGAUGAUAUAAGUAGUUUUCAGUGUCUCCUAAUUAAAAUUUCUUUGUAUGCAAGUAAUUAUGCUUGUUAUAAAGUGUAUGGAUGAUAAUUUAUAUAUUUAUCUUGGUUGUUUAUUUAAUAAUAUGUCGUUGAUUGAAGUA